rnacentral:rRNA from 1 species
UACGAAGGGUGCAAGCGUUAAUCGGAAUUACUGGGCGUAAAGGGUGCGUAGGCGGUUGUUUAAGUCUGUCGUGAAAUCCCCGGGCUCAACCUGGGAAUGGCGAUGGAUACUGGACAGCUAGAGUGUGUCAGAGGAUGGUGGAAUUCCCGGUGUAGCGGUGAAAUGCGUAGAGAUCGGGAGGAACACCUGUGGCGAAGGCGGCCCCCUGGGCUAAGAUUGACGCUCAGGCACGAAAGCGUGGGGAGCAAACAGG